rnacentral:lncRNA from 1 species
UAGAAUUCCAGAUUAGUUGGAAACUCAGACUUGCCCGCGCAUUCACUUUGAAUCAUUCAUCUGAAAAUGUUUUCAAACCUUUUGUACUUGUGUCUUGUCAUAUUAACUUGUUUGAUUUUCAAUCUUUUGUUUGAGGACAAACAAAGAGUUAAGUUGGGGAGAGUUUGAUAAGUGCUAGAAAGUUGUAUUUUAAGUGAUAUAUUUU